rnacentral:rRNA from 1 species
CGAACGCUGGCGGCAUGCCUCACACAUGCAAGUCGAACGAGACCUUCGGGUCUAGUGGCGCACGGGUGCGUAACGCGUGGGAACCUGCCCUUAGGUUCGGAAUAACUCCCCGAAAGGGGUGCUAAUACCGGAUAAUGUCUUCGCACCAAAGAUUUAUCGCCUUUGGAUGGGCCCGCGUUGGAUUAGCUAGUUGGUAGGGUAAAAGCCUACCAAGGCGACGAUCCAUAGCUGGUCUGAGAGGAUGAUCAGCCACACUGGGACUGAGACACGGCCCAGACUCCUACGGGAGGCAGCAGUGGGGAAUAUUGGACAAUGGGCGAAAGCCUGAUCCAGCAAUGCCGCGUGAGUGAUGAAGGCCUUAGGGUUGUAAAGCUCUUUUACCCGGGAUGAUAAUGACAGUACCGGGAGAAUAAGCUCCGGCUAACUCCGUG